AGUGAACGCUGGCGGCAUGCCUAACACAUGCAAGUCGCACGGGGGGGCUUCGGCCUCCCAGUGGCGGACGGGUGAGGAACGCGUAGGGACCUGUCGAGGGGUGGGGGAUAACCGCGGGAAACUGCGGCUAAUACCGCAUGACGCCGCGGCGUGACAGCCGGGGCCAAAGGCGAAAGCCGCCCGCCGAGGGGCCUGCGUCCGAUUAGCUGGUUGGCGGGGUAGCGGCCCACCAAGGCGUCGAUCGGUAGCUGGUCUGAGAGGGUGAUCAGACACACCGGGACUGAGACACGGCCCGGACUCCUACGGGAGGCAGCAGUGGGGAAUAUUGGACAAUGGGCGCAAGCCUGAUCCAGCAAUGCCGCGUGGGUGAAGAAGGUCUUCGGAUUGUAAAGCCCUUUCGGCGGGGACGAUGGUGACGGUACCCGCAGAAGAAGCCCCGGCUAACUUCGUG
rnacentral:rRNA from 1 species